rnacentral:lncRNA from 1 species
GUCCCGCUUAAGUCCGAUGUCCUUGACCUCAUGUUCAAUGAUCAAGGAUGGCAUGAAAUAGUUUCAAUAUCACGUGAGUGUGUCUGGUUUUUUUUAUUAGCAGUACGGGUCAAUUAUAAAAAUAUAGAAUAACGGCGAAGUUUUUAUAUCGAACUUCUGACAAAGUUUGUUGGAAUCGACAUAAACUGUGCAUGGUUCAAUGUAGUCCAAAUAAUUAUGACGUCUGGCAAGGCUAUUUUAAUUUUUUUCUGUGACGCUAGGAGUAGUCCAAAAAAUUAUGAUGUCUGGCAAGG